ACCCAUACCAGCAACAGCAGCAACAGCAACAGCAACAGCAACAGCAGUACUUGCAAGCAUUAAUGAGCCAACAAAGGGCAAUGGGUAAUGAGAGGUUUCAACCCAUGAUGUAUGCUAGGCCCCCACCAGCAGUGAAUUACAUGCCGCCUCCAUACCCAUAUCCAUACCCUUAUCCGCCACCACACCCGAAUUCUGACCCGUAUACCAACAUCUUCAGUGAUGAGAACACCUCAAGCUGCAAUGUCAUGUGAAGGCUUUUUGGCAUGGAAAAGUUAAUGGUCUCCUCCAUGGGAUGGAUGGUUUGUUUAGCUUGCGGUGGUUCGGUUAUAGUUGAACUAGAAGUUUGAUGCCAUAAUAUACAUGGAAAUGGGUUUUUUUUUUUUUUUUAUUGUAGUUUAAUUUUUCUCUCUGAUUUUCAUUUCUUUCUUUUUGUUUUUUCUUUUUGGGUCUCAAGUUGAAUUAGGGGCUUUAAUUAUCAUAGGCAAGUAUUUAUAGAUAAUAUAUUAAAAAGUUUUUAGGAGUAGCGGUGGGCUCUUUUAUGAGAUAUGUUUAUAUGUGUUCAUAUGUUGCAAAACAAAAAUAAGAUUAAGAAAAAAAAAAAAUAUUAUGGAGGAGGACGAAGCUGCAAAGCCCCAUCUCUCUCUGCUGCUGCCCAUUUCUUUCCCCAAAUUUUAUAUUCUUUUUUAUAUUUUUUUUAUUAUUAUUGCUUCUUACCUCUUUAUAUUACAUUAUUUUAUUAGUCACAUCGUAUUAUAAUACUAUUAAUCUUCCAUUUACGCAAUGUGAGUGUUAUGAUUACCACUUGUGAAAUGUAGGUCCCACACUAUGAGUCGUGUAAUUUGAAAGGCUGGACCCGAACCGGUUCUUCAUAAGUGUGUUUGGUUAUAUGGGUAAAUAUGGACCCUACCACAAGCACUUUAAAAUUUUAAAACUUAAUUAUUAACUAAACACUGUGGGUUUAAUUAGCUGCUUUACAUGCUAUUUGAGGGAGUGUUCCUUCCUCCACUUGCUGGUCUCUAUACCCACUUCACUCCUGAGGCCAAACGCUGUGUUAUCAGAGAACAUGUUGACAAAGACAAGCUAACUACUUUUUUGUAAUUUUAUUUUAUUUUUAUAUCUUCUUCAAUUUUAGGAAAAUCUAACGGCGUUGACACUUACACGAAUUCUGUGAUCUGUAUGGUCAUAUCAUAUCAACCAAAACCGAGAGAGCAUCAAAAGAACCAAAACCCUCCAUGUGUUGGAUUUGUCAAUGAUGAUGAUGAUCUUUAAAUUUCUUUUCUUUUUUUCUGAUGAUAGAGAUGGGGUCCAUCAAACUGCUUACACAUCUGUCUAAUCAGAGGCAGCGAUAGAUGUGGGUCCCCAGUGCUUGUUCUUAAAAGUACUUGUCUGUUUUCUUGGGCGUACAUUAUACUAUAUGUAUAUUUAAUAUAUACUCACUCGUACGUACAUUGUGAUAUGAUUAUUUUGGUGAAAAUUAUUAUGAAUUGUAUCUUUUUACUGAAAAUUUUGACCUAUCUUUUAUGUAUUUGUUUACGCCAACUUGUUUUUAUUUCAGACUCACGGUUGCACGGGUGUGACCAGAACCAACAAUUAAUGUGGAUAGCUCGAGAUCCAAAAUUUUCCGUGUCUGUUUGGUCAUGAGAAUAGCAAUAACUCCAUUCUCGGUUAAGAAAAUAUAAUGUAAAGGGAUUGGUUUUUGUUUAUCUUCACUUGGCCAGUUGCCACUUGUCAAUCAUGCUUGCUGACACGUGGAGAUGAACUGUAAGACAACGUGGAUGGGCAUAUGAAGUAUAUCACGUGGAGGAUGCACGGGGAUGAGGGUUGAAGGUUGUGGGUUAGCUUGGAAGCUUAUAUGACCCAAAACCUAAAAGACUGACGUCUGUCUCUCCUUCCUAUUAUCAGUAGUUUUUUUUUUUCCAACAACAAAAAAUAUUAAAAUUAAUUAAUAAUAACAAUAAAUGUCCAAUUUGAAAAAAAUAAAAAAAUAAUUUAGAAAAAUGGAGUAUUUGGAGGGAAAUAGGUGAAAUUGACAUCCUAGGAUAGGAAGGCAUAAUAGUGAUGGAUAAUAAUUAGUAAUUAAUGUAAUUCUGGUUUUGUUGGAAUUGGAAGCAACAUUUCUUUAAUGGACAUUUAAUUAUUAGUAUUUGUAUCAUGAAAAUAAUGAUGGUGGCCAUCUUUUGUACCAACUUUAACCUGAAUUUGGGGAGAAAUAGCAGGGCGCAAUUGAGAGAGGGAGAAACGGGGGAGAAGAGAAGAGAAGAGGAGUUCCUAAUCACGAUCGAGAAAGAUGACACAAGCACAACUUUGUCUUUCUCCUUCAUAUGUAUAUAUAUGUUUUUGGGUCCUCAAAUUUGACUAAUGGGAUUGAAAAUUGGCACUUUGACGUGGGUCCUUCUGUUCUACUAUUGGCUCAUUCUUUGAUUACACGUUCCUCUCAGUGUACUGCCACGUCACACUUGAAGAUGGCUUUUACUUUUAAAACAGUAUCACGAGUUUUCUAUACGAAGAAGAAGCAAUGCCAAAGUUAAAAACAGUACGUUCUUUUUUACUUUUCCAGGUUAAACUCUGAUUGAAGAAAAAAAAAAAAUAUUUUGGUGAUAAAAUUUAUUGAUUCUUUUUUAUUUUUUGAACCGCUGUUAUCUUCUUUGUUUUUGGAUAUCAUUUUUUUUUUUUUAAACAAGUGUCUAUUCUGAAAUGAAUUGACACUGUCUAUAGCCAAUCAUUGAAUUCUCAUUGACAGAGUCUCAACCAUUUAUACUGUUUUACAGUAUAUGUAACUGUUUUAGUUAUUUUAUCAAAACAUUUCAAUUUGAUCAUUAAUUUUAAUUUAUAUAAUAAAAUAAUGGCUUAAUGACUAGAAUUGGUAUAAAAAAUUAAAUACACGGAAUUAAUUAAUAAAAUUGAAAACUUGCUAGAAUUGAUAAAAAAUGUUAAAGUUUCAGGUUUUUUUGGCAUUAAAUCUAAAAUAGUUAAACUUUAAUUCUAAUUAUUUUUUAAAGGGGAAACUUUAAUUAUAUUUCAAUAAAUUAUCAUUAAUUUUUUAUAACUGAUGACUGAGUACAACAUAUUUAUCAGCAUCAUUUAUAUAUACCUUAAAAGAUCAAACUAACGCGGUGAAAAUCCUAUUCGCAUAAAAUCAUUUUCAAAUCUCUAUUGUUUUGUAUGGUAAAGAUAUUUUCGAAAAUGAAAAAGGAAAAGACAGAGAUUGUAAAUAGAAAAGAAAAGGUAUCCGAAGAGUUUGUCAAUAAUCCAAUUCCAAGUGCAAAGAAAUCCAAUUUGCUCCCGACGAUCGAGGUAAAAGAGAGUAGGCCCCACUAUGUUCUUUCGUCGCGUUACCAGAUCAAUUCAUGAAAAUGGGCCCCGCUGCCUCUGGGUACAAUACCAAAAAGGAACAAAACUCACCGUUUAAAGAUCUUUAAUUUACGAAAGAAAUACGUUAUCAAACGGAAUAAGAAACGGCAUCGAGUGUGGUAAAUUACAAAUUAAGAAAGGAAUUAACUACUUUAAGAAGUAAUAAUAACGAAUCAAAAAAAAAAAAAAAAAAAAAAAGGGGAAAAGGGAAAAGAGAGACGACAGAUAAAAAUGGUACGCAAACACACCAUUGGAAGCGUAAAAACAAAAAAUCCAUCGAACGGCGGAAAGGGAGUCUUCCUUUGCCUUGGCUGUUCACACCGUAUGUGGUGUGGUUUGCUCCCUCGGGCCUCACGGGCGUGAAAUGUGAAUUCGUUUAUUUGGACUUACUCGUCACAUUUUUCCUGCUUCAUUUUAAUUAUUGUCCUAUCUGAAAUUGGAAAAAAAAAAAAAUUAUAUUACUUUCGUCAUGCAUUUGAAUUUUGAAGUCACUGUACUAGGAUAAAAAUGUUAUUAUAAAAAUACAUUUAUUUUAAUAAAAUCUUUUGGAACAUUCUAAUUAUUAUAAUUUAAAAUAUUUUUUACUUUUUUUAGGAAAUUAUGGGUCAAAAAGAAAAUAAUGGCCUACAAUAUAUAUAUUUGCAAAACAGUUGAAUGUUUGCUUCUAGAUGGCAAUAAUUGAUUGGUUUGGUUAUUAUUAUUAUAAGACCAUAUAAUCCUUUUUCCCAAAAAAAGUAAAAUUAAGAAGAAGAUAAUGAAAUCCUUCGAUUUGAUGUCUCAGAAAACCUACAGCCCAGGUGAAAAAACAAAAGGUGAGUGUUCCACCAUCCCCACUAAUUUCAAAAGCCUGAAAUGAAUUAACAUUUCCACUUUAAAAAGCAAUAAAAAAAAGAUCGUUAUCAACAACAGUCAAAAGCACUAAAAAAAUAAAUUUUGAUUCAGAUUGAACCGAGGCUAGGUCUAAAAAUUAGGUAUUUAUUAAUAAGUGGAGCAUAAGAAUAUAGGGUGAGAAGCAGCAGUCGAAAUCACUAGCAAUAGUAAGUAAUAUUGGGUGGAGUGAAACUUAAAUCCUAAGGUGUUGAAUUCUUUCACUUUAUCAAACACAAUUAAACAACUUGUGCGGUAUGGUCAAUCAUUUCAUCAAUUUUGCAUGUGCUGCCUUCCCAUUAUAAUUUACUUUAUAAACUUUCAUUUCAUUUUUUUUUCUUUUCUAACCGCCUUAGCAAGUUACAAGUUACAACACUCUAACCCUUCAAGAUGUGUGAAACUGUGAAUCACACACACUUUAAAAUAUUUAAAUAUAUAUAUGACGUGAUGAUAUGAUCAUCCAAUAUUUUGGUUUGUCACAAUCAAAAAGAUCCAGAUAAUCUGACGGACGACAGGAAUAGGGUAAGGCAUGAAAUUGAUAUUCAUACAUGUUUUUUCACAUCCUUGUUUCUCAUUCAACUGAAAGUGGAGAGUUAGAAAGAAAGCAUUAUACCACAGUUCUAUUAUGGGGUGCAUAAAAUCAGGGUCAUUGAAUAGGAGCAGAUGUUGACUCUUGCGAACUCACUUUUUUGACUUUUUUUUUAAUUUUUAAUUUUAAUUCUUUCUUGAGAAUUAGACAAUUAGUGCACGUCUUCUUCGUUCCUUAUAUAUACAUAGUGUUUAGAAAGCAGCAGGCUUUGUCCCUUUGCUUGCUUUUAACUGUUCUAAAUUUUAAAUAAUAAAAACUGCUUUAAGUGGAUUGUGAUUUAUUUAUAUAAUAUUGCUACUCGAUAUUUAAAUUGACUUAAACAGUAAAAUAUGUUUGAAUUUAACCGAAAAUUUCUUUAAAAUUUAAAAUUUAAUAUGACCAUUAAUAAUUUUGUUGUACAUUUUUUCAUAGGAAAAUAAAAAAAACUGUAUUUAACCUGCUCAUGAUGAGCAUAAGACAUGAAACAGUCUUACAAUUCAAAAGAUAGAUUGGACUUGUGAUAUAGAAUGAUUACUUCGUGUUGUUUCAAAAGUUGAUUAAAUUCAGAAAAAAUAAAUAGAAAAAAACGAAAUAAAGCUGCAAAUUUAAGCUGUUUGUUUGAUGAGUUUCUUUCUUUUAUUUUUUUUUUUUUCAAUUUAUGUAUAAUUGCAUUUAUAUAUAUAUAUAUUUAUACAAUACCGAUAUGUAAGAAUGAUCACGUGCCAUUGGAUUUCGAAAGAUACCAUGUAAACAAUGAUUAUGAUUACUUUGAGAAAGAAACCAACUAACUCACUUUUGUACAAGAACAGAAUAGAAUCAUUAUGGCUUUGAGCUACUUUUCCUCUGCUCCAAUUUUUUUUUUUCCCCUUUUCUUUAUAGUUUAUACUAACUGCAGCUGAAGAAAUAAAAAAGCACUUGUUGGUGUUUAAUCGCUUUUCAACAUUUCACGUUAGAUUAAAAAAAAGAAGAAGAAGAAGGAGAAGCUAGUGAUUAGGAUCUUGUUGUUUUGAUCUUUUUGUUCUCUUUCAUGGCAGGUCAAAUUCUUCACUUCUACUCCAUUCUUUUGUCCUCCCUUGCUUAUUGGGUUAAUUGCUUUUAAUAAUUAGAAGUUUCAACAUCUUGUCUCCCUCUUUAGUUAAUUACACUGGAUAAGCUCAAAAGAUUCAUUUCAUUAACAACAAUUUAUUCAUAAAUAUUUAUUUAUUAUGUUUUGAAUGUUACAAUAAUUGGUAUCACAUGGACAAUCUUUUUUUUUUUAUGACAAAAACAUCCCUCAAUUAUUAAGUUCGACCCACUUACAUUAACUGUUUUAGUAGCUGAUAACUAUUAUUAUUAUUAAUAUUUUAUGAAAUGUUAAGAAAGAUAACAAUUUACAAAUUAUUUCCUCAAACUCCAAAAAUUAAUAUAAAAUGUUAUGUCAUUAAGCACCAUACAAAUAGAGAGAAUAUUCUAAUUAAGUCAAAACACUAGACGUUACGUUAUACUGUAUCUAUCUUAAAAUAUAAGUCGUUUAAAAUUUUUACACUGGAAUUGAGGAAGUAAUUAGUUUUACUAAAUUAUAAUAAAUUCAAAGGUAACUAUUACUCAACAUCAGACUAUUCUCCUUAAAAUACUCAAAAAAUUUAUAAUUAGAGACAAAACAAUCAUUUUAAAAUAACUUAUAUUUUAGAAUAGAAUAAAUAAAUAUCGCCAUAUAUAAUAUUAUGAUUGAAACAAGUAGUGGCAACAACUAUUAUCCUUGUUGGGUUAGCUUACUUGAUCAAACUUCUUUACAAUUAGAGCAACUCAUUACCACCAUUACUAUAUUAUCCAAAGCUUCACCUUCCACUACGUAUUCCAUACUCUUUAGGUAUAAAUAAAUAAAUCAACUCUUACAAUUAUAGAUAUCUUGUUAGGACACUACCCACUUUCAACCUUUCCUAGUGGUAGCUUCUAAUUAUAUAGUCAUGUCCAAAUUCUAAGUUCCAAUCAAAAGACCCACAACAUUGAUUAACUUUCGUCUUCUACCCAAAUUGUAGGGGCUCUAGCUAGUGCUGUAACCCUAAUCAUAUCAAGAAAUAGAAUUUAGAAAGCUACUUCCACCCUAAUGCGACUUAUAAUUUGGUACCUAAUUUAUUUUUCCCUUUUGUUGAAUUAAAAAGAAAAGAAGCAACCAAAGUCCAAAUUGCUAAUAAUGUAAAUAUUGGAGAGAUUAUUCAGAUAAAACGCAUCGUAUUGAUUGGUUCUGAUGUGAAUAUUUAAAAUCUAGCAAAAUGGGGAAACGGUGUCCCUUUUAGGCUAUAAAACUAUGGUUAUAACAAUCAUGCAAGUGACUAAUUAUUUUAGUUAAAGCGAUUGAGUGCGCCGUCUGUUGUUUAUUUUUCUAUAGAAAAAUAUAAACAAAGUGAGAGUUGAAGUUGAAAUGUUAAUUCAGAAAGGAGCAGUAUGCCCAAGAUUAACACAUAACGUGCAUUUUAAUAAGGCAAGAAGAACCAACAGAUGUUUAUACCAAACUUUCCUUUAUUAAACUACUUUGAAAUUGCAAAACAAAACAACAAUAUCGCAGCUUCCUUUGGUAUUCGCUUAAACAGUAAAACGAAUAAUUUCAAAUUCGGUCAGUUGGGCCCCUUGACGGGCUCAAAAUCUCAUAAAUCAUCUUCUUUUUAUUUACGCAUGUAUUUCUACGCUCGAAUUGAGUUUGUGAGUCGGUUCAAUAUCGAUCCACCUAAUGGAAAACAUCAGUAGAAUUAACAUGAACACAACCCAUUUAUCGAUCGUUUUGGGGGCUUUUUCAAGGAUAGAGAGUCAAAAAAUAACAGAGUGAGAGUGGAGAAGUGGCCAAUCUUAAGAAGAUAGCGACAUGCAAAAUGGGUCUCGAAGUUGGUGAAAAAGAAGAGCUAAGUUGCAGCCACAAUUACUGACUCCUGCAGCCCUCCAUUUCCUACCUUAAAAAGACCAACCUCAAUUCCCUCUAUAUGCACACCCAGCUAAGAGCUACAGUAUUAUCUUCUUCCCUUCAUAACCAAAAUAUAUAAAUAUAGUAGUAGCAAGAAUUAACGAAAGUCAAAGCGAGGAAUUCUACGUUCAAAGCACAGAGAUCAAGAACUAUUAAGAGCAGUAAUAUCACAUGGGAGCCAUGUUGAUCACUGCCUAAUAAUACUGUUAGUCACGCAGGCCUCUCUCUUGGAUUUCGGUUGACAAAUGUGUUUGCCUUUAUUAUUUUUAUACACAUUCCUAUGUAUUAGGACAAUGGGUCUCUGUUCUGAGUUAUGCUUAAUUUUCCUAGGAGCAGUACCCUCUCUCUCUCUCUCUGUCUCUACGCAUGUGAUUGUUUUACAUUACUCCUCCUCACUGUCUCUUUCAUGGGACAGAAUUUCCUUGCUAGGGUUACAUUUUUUAUUUGCCCUAACUUUCUCUCUGACCUGAGGUUUCUAUGUUUUAAUUAAAAUUAAUUGACUCAGUUGGAAUAAUUAGGCACUGUUGUUUUGUUCAGUGAACAAUGAACAAUGCAGGCCAAGAAUAGAGCAACAUAUCUAAUGUGUACAAAUAAUUUUCAAUGGCUAAAAAACAAUGAACAUGUCCACUGCAGGCCAAAAAUAGAACAUCAUUUCAAAUGGCCAUACAAUUAUUUUCAAUAAUUGAUGUUCUGGAUAAACUUCACUUGUUUGUUUACACAUUAUGUGGCUAAAAAUUUUAUUCUACCAAAUAGUGAAAAAUCAAAGAUUUUAAUCACUAAAGUCAGAGGAAAUUCAUUUGCUUCCACACUGCAUAAAAUUUGAGAGAUUGCGAAGAAUAUCAAGGACAAUGAUAAGCGACCGAGAAAAUGCUGAAUGAAGUGUUAAGCGAUUUAAAUUUUUUUAAGGUGAGAAUAUAAAUUCAAUUUUUUAAAAAAUGACAUUCCGAAAAUAAAAAAAAAAAAAAUAUAUAUAUAUAUAUAUAUAAGAUGUAUAUGCAUGGAAGCAAUAUUAUAUAGAGAAAAUUGGUAUGGGCAAUAAGUAAUUGGAUGAAUACUUGCAAGGGUCCAAUAAAUGAUGGAUACGAAUCCUUCAAAGUAAUAGACACCAUGAAUUCGAAAAAUGAAACUUUUAAUCAAAUGUCGUAGUUAUGUCUUCCAUAAUAAUAAUUUCAUUAGUGUGACAAAACGCCAUCUUUAUUUUGUUGAAUUUAUAUAUAUGUAUUCGUCUUCGAAAUUAUUAAAACAAGUCUUAUUAGUCAAUGUUUUAAACUGUACGUACUUAUUUUUAUUUCAAUAAUUAAAAUUCUAAUGUGUACGUCUGGACUUAUAUAAUAAAAUUAUUUUAUGUAUGCGCUUUAUUUGUGGCUUUGGCUUUGGCAUCUCACCCAAAAGCCACUCAAAGUAUGGAUUAUUUAAAUAACCGACAAUGCCCUUGAAUUCAUGGUCUAACCAUUAUAAAAAAAAAAAAAAAAAAAGGUUCACAAAUUGCAAUACAGUCCUCCAUCAAUAAUACUAAGUGGGAAUAAAUGUUGAUUUAGGGCAACAAUGCAACGCGAAAAUAUAAAAUACUAAUCAAGGAUUAAAGAAAACACAUUAUGAAAAUUAAUAGCUUUAACAAGGAGAGAAAGGUAACUUUCGAAUUAAUAUAAUGCCAUUGAAGAAACCCAAUAGUGCUACUUCUGUUCUGUUCUGUCAGUAGAAGAAGACGAGUCCUCAUUACUCUCAUUAGCAAUUUACAGUUACAACGAUGACUUUUUUUUAUUAGAGAUUUAUUGGGUAAGCGAAUAUCUUACGAGAGAUAUUGAAAAAAUGUACAGAAGCUCACGUUAACGUCUGUCUGCCCCCUUGCACGGAAUUCAAUCCUUUGUCUGUUUUUUUUUUUUUUUUUGAGUAAAAUAAUUUGUGAUUUUAGGAAAAAGAUUUCAGGUUGGAAAAUUUUGGACUCACUUGCAAAGCAUGUGACAAUUGAAGUACAAAUUGAUUUUUUGUUAACAGACAGCAUGUAGCCCGUAUGUAUUUUUCUGGCAAAAAUAAAAAUAAAAUAAAUCAAUUAAAUUUAAUGCCGUAUGGUACGUUGAUUUUCUUUGAAUAUCACAAUCGCAACUUAUUGUGUAUGGAAAUAGAAAAGAAAAAACGUAAAAAUAAUUCGAAAACACAAUAUUUUAUAUAAAAAAAAAACGAAAUAUAUCUGGAAAAAAGAAAAAUAGCUAAUUCACAAUCUCGUGAUCUUUUUGUUUUGCUGGCAUACCAAUCUUUUUUUUUAAGUGAAAGGAAAUGUUUCAAUCAAGUAUGUCUGACUCAUUAAAUCAUUAAUUUAACAAUAAUAUAAAUAUCUACUGUACAUAAAUAUAAAAAAAAGAAAAGCACAAAAAAAUGGUCAAAAACAAGAAAUUAAAAAAAAAAAAAAAAGUUGCGACAACAUAAUAAGAAACCCAGAGGCGGAAAGUGACGACGGCGAGGAAAAACGGGGUCAUAAAGCCAAGCCGAGCGGAGCGGAGCAACUGACAGGAUAGAUAAAUAAACAAAACCGUAAAAUAAAAAGAUGACGGCAGCUAAUUAACGGCGGAUAUUGUCAGUUAGCCUGCUUCGUUGUGAAGUAGCGGGAAUCUUUAUAGCUGUACGGUUUUGGGUAUUGGAAAUGGGACCCAUUUUCCUCAAAGUGGGCCCACCUCCCACGCUUCAUUGUUAUCAAACUUCUCACUUCCACCUCUCGCCGCAUGCCGCACCACCAUUGUACUGUAUAUUUGUAAAUUUUUUUUGAACGUAUAUACGUAAAAAAAUACGCGACAUCACCGUAAGUACGGUCUAAAUCAAAAACAAAAAGAACGGGUUUAAUAGUAUUUUAAAAAUCAAGAUUGAAAUAGAAUCUGGAAAUUAAUUAGUUUUCAGAAUGAUUGAAGUUUUAAAUCUUUGAAGUAGUUAGCGCAUUAAAUGAAAGAGCAUUACUUCUAACCCUACACUUAGGCCUAAUUAAUGAGUAAUUAAAAUGGGCCAACAUCUAUAAUUAGAGUUGAAAUUAUUUGCGAUUAUGUCAUAUGAAUAUGAUACUCCUCACUUGAAGAUUAUGAAGAAGAUGGGUCAAAGCUUUUGUUUUUGUUUUCUGUUUUCAAAUUUGAAUACAAAAAUUAAGUUUUCAAUUACCAUUUUUCAAACCCUAAUUCUAAUUAAUCUUUUUAAUUAAUUAAUUUUAUAAAAAAAGAGGGAAGUAAAUGUUUUUCACGUGGGUUCACACAUCUUUUGCUUAACUUGAUCACUAAUAUAAUGAUUGUGAUUUUGCAUGCGAAGAUAUAUAUAUAAAAACAAGAAAAUAAAUAAAAUUUAUAGAAAAAGAAGGGAAGUGGACAGCCAAGCAAGCAGUGGCUAAAUAGUGUGAGAAAGCAAUUAUGGAGGGAAAAAAUAGAAAUGGAUGGAUCCAAAAACACACCAAUGUCAAAGAAUGGACCCAUAUACUUGAAUUAAUAAUUGCUGAGAAGGGAAGCUAAGAAUGAUAAUAGUUGUCCAGAUGAGUUGAUUGGAUAGUGCUAUGCCACCACUACUAAAAUGAAAUGUAGCAGCUAAUUUCCGGCAUUGGGCCUCCACUUUCUGCCUCCUAUCCUACCACUCCAUUCUGGGUAAAAUGUAAAAUAAAACAUCCCUUUCAGUAGCAACUACAAUGUUUCAACUGCCAAACUUUGGUCCCACAGCUGUAAAAUUAAUAAAGCAAUGGAGUUCUGUUCUUUUUUUUUGGGUUUGAGUUUGGGUCAGAGCCUUAAACAAAAAUUGGAUUGGCCCAUCUUCAAAUUUGGAUCACAAUUCCGGUUAGGCCAUCUUGCUAGGAUAACCAUUCAAGAAAACCAAUCGGCUUUCUUUUGGUGAUCUUGUAAAUCAACAGAGGUUUUCUUUUUUGUUUUUGGCUAGUACAAUGUUCUUGAAGACUUUACAGCUGAACUAUGAAGCUUGUUGGUUAAUGGCAAGUCAACUUACAUUACAUAUGCAAAUCUUCCCUGUCUUUCUUUAUCUUAAUUAAUGUAUGUUAUAAACUGAAUCUCUUAAUUUGUUCAUACAUUCUAUAUUAUUUCAUGCUUUCAGAUUUUCUCUGUCUUAACAAACUUCUUUACAUAUUAAAAAACACAGGAACUAUAUCCAUCCUCGCGGGUACAUGCACUUUUCAAGAUCACAAAUACAUCUUUUGGAAAAUGUUAGCAUAUAACUAUAACAAGCGUAGUUCGGUUUAUGCCAUUAAAAUUUGAAAAAUGAUAAAAACAGACGAUCUUUGCCCUAGCUUUUUGGUCAAGUUCUUCAUGAAGCUAAUGAGUGUGGAUUGAUUUCUCUGCUCACAUAUAAGAGAGGAUGUACUCUUUUUGAUAUAUGGUUGCAGUUUAGUUUGUUUAAUAAGGAAAAGAAAAGAAAGACAAAUGCAUGCUGGAAAAUCUUGAUAUAUGAAUUUUAGGAUAUGAUAAUGUCUUUCCAAUUAAUUUCAUAUAUUUCAAGUAAUGUAAUUAAACGAUGAAUUCAUUAUAUAUAUCAUAUGAAAUAAUCAAACUUAUAAUUUAGAUUCAUAUAAAUAAACUUUGAUAGAUUAAAACAAAAAUCCACUUCUUUUUAUUAUCAAGAAAAGAUCACACAUUCCAUUAUUUCUCUUACUGCUUGUACUAACCUUCGUCAAAAAGUAAACAGCAAAUUUACAUCUCAUUUGUAUAAAUUGCCUCAGGAAAGAAGCUCUGUUGAACUUCAAGUGCAAGUUCCUCCACACUUAGCUGACAUUCCAACCCUAUCUGCAACAGCAUAUCAUAUUUAUAAAUUAUAACCCUAGUAAAGGUUUAACUGUUUCAUUAAUUAAUCUGCUGCUACUGCGUUGACUUGACUGUCGAAGGUCAAAUGAAAAGAAGCCAUGCAUUGUAAUAUUUUCUUUGGUCAUGCGAAUAUUUUAUAUGUUUCCUAACCAAAAGAUGUCUCAUUAAGUUUGCUUGUCCUAUACGUUGAAGUGGUAAGAAGUAAGAGCAUGUUAUGCACUUGACACGUAUAAAGGCAAGUCUAACAUUACGUGUCAUUGAGACAAGCUCAAGUACUUCUCAACAAAUUCUCCAUCAUCCUGAAAAUGAUACAAGCUCGAGUACGGCUCACUCUCAGAUGAAUGAUUGGAGACCUUGUUUAACAAAACGACAAGUCACCUGAUGUGUUAUUAAAAAAAAAAUGUGAAGAUGGAAAAUUUUCCGAUCAUAGCGAAAAGUUAACGACAGAAGAACUUUCCCAUUGCAGAUAAACAACAGAAAAUAUGGUCGAGUUAUAUAUAUAGUAGAACAGUGUUAAGCUGUUACGUUAUAUAUAGGGUAUACCUUGACGACAAAGGAGUAGAGAACAGUGUCUUCCAUGCUACUGAUAUUGAGAUGAAGGACCUCAAAAGAAAGUUUUUCCAAGACAUUGAUUAUCCUGAAAAUUUGACCUGGUAUUCGCUUUGAUAUUAUUUUCAGCAUCACAUUUGAUCCUGAUAUCUUGGCUUCCACAUCCGCAACUGCAGAGUUGCAGCAUGCGCUCAGUUCCUUAACAUUUUCUUGUCCGAAUGGGCUCUGAAGUUGAUCAGGUUGUAGAGUUAUUAACUGCAGUGGUCUAGGGCUAGGGCUAGGACCUGGACCUGGACCAGGACUAGGGCUUAAACUCUUCCUUCGCUUCUUGGAUUCCAAAGCUUGUAAAACUUGGUGCAGUUCUUUUAUAAACUCUAUUACACCCCCUAUUAUAGAUGCUUGGUCCCCCUAAUUAACCGUAACAGAAAAUAAAAUCAUUAUUAACUCAUAACUGUGUAGAAAUUUAUUAAAUUAAAGAAGGUUUGCUUAAUUAAUUACUAUUAUAUACGUAUGGUAUAUGAUAGAGAGAGAUACAAAUACCCUUUUGAUAUAGAAACAAGGGGUCAAAGAACGUAGGACUUUGAGAUGCUCAUUCAUCUGUCUUCUCCGGUUUCUUUCUACAGCUAUAUGAGACAUUUUUUUAGUUCAAAUCAGAAAAACUGUGUAUAUAUAUAUGUAUUCUUUCUUUUCGGUUUUAAAGUCCUAUCUACUUAUAGGGCAAGAAACUGAGAGAAAGAGAGAGAGAGAGAGAGUCCAAAAACUAGUUUCUUGGCUAGGACAAUAAAUGCUGUAUGUCGCACUCCCGUGAGGUUCUUGCUCAUGCUCACUCAUACUCAUCACUUGCAGAUAUUACAUCUCACGUUUAUUACCUUGGGUCAAUUACAUGACCUGCGUGAGUUAAAAUAGGGGGAAGGUGGGAGUCCCUUAACUUCCUGUAUGUCCUCUUCAUGCACAUUCCCCUUUUAUCAUAGUGUCUCAUUGCAGUGUUAUUCUCUAAUAUUUUUUUUUUUCUCAUAAAAAUGUUAUUAUAUUCGUAUGCCAUUAACCAUACAAAAAACAAGAAACAUAGCUGUCAAAGGAUAUACAGCAUGAUUUCGAUGAUAUCUAUUGAUGUUGAUGUAGUGAUGCUCAGUCAUCACUGUGGGACAUUGGUAUAUUAAUUGUUUUUAAUUUUUUCUUAAAAGUAUUUGUGUAAUUUCUCGAAGCUUAUUCUUUUUUUCAUAACCUAUGUUUUUAUUUAAUUAGAUGCUAAUUAAUAAUUAAUGUAUAUGCUUAAACUAUAUAGUGAGGAAGGGUACGGUAUGCAGGCUUCAAUUUUACAACUCAACUACCUCGCUAUGUAGCUCGUAUUUUUAAUUAGCUAAUUCUUAUCUUUCACUUGUUAAUUUUAUCCAAUGUCUAUAAACACAACCUAUCAAUCAAAUCGCAAUCAAAUAUUAAUAAAUGAGAUAAAUAAAAAUAUUAAUGUCUUUUCACUAAAAAAAAAAAAGGAAUAUUGACUUGGUUAAUUUUUAUUAACUAAAUUUUAAUUAUUGUGAUUACCAUUGAAAUUUCUUAUUUUGCAAUUUAUGCUUCAAAUUGUCAUUUUUAUUUAAGUGUAUUUUAUGACUAAACUUUUCUCAUUUCCACUUCUACAUGAGAUGCUUAUUAUGUCUUUUGCUUUAUGAUAUUAUUAAAUGAAGCCAGGAUCUAAAAGUAAGGGGCAAGACAGUAUGAAAUUUAAUUAAAUGAAAUUCUGACAAAGAGAAGGGAGCAAGAUGGUUGAAAUCCCUAAUUACGUAAGGUUGGAACGUUAAGCCUUGUUACAAUUUUUUUUUUCCAAAAGGAGAAAGGGCGCUUAUCCCCUUCCUCAACCAUGUAGCUUCGUCCCUGCCUAUCUGCUUAUUCUGUUAAAGGAUGAGCAUGUAAAAAACCCAGUUGCAGUGUUACCUAAUAUAAACUAUGCUAAUUAAUUAUCUGAUAUGCUUGCAAGGAGAGCAGCUCGCAGUGUUCACUGGUGUUGCAGACUGCGGCCGUAUGUAGAAGAGGAGUAUUCACAAGAGCUAGCGUGGUUUACGAUAAAUUUAUUAGGGCAGUUGAGUGGAUGUUAUACAGUUUUCUGUCAUUGUUGUUUUGUGCCAGAGUUCAGAGUUCUCAACCUAAGGCCACAAACUACAAUUCAGGACAUUAAUUGUGUAGCCAGGAUUCAAAUGACGAAUGCAUGCAUGUAGCUCAAAGUGGUAAGGUUGAUAUUCCCUCCUCUGCGUUCUAUAUAAUUUCUUUUUGUCCUUGUAAUGUUUAAUUUUUGGUGAUUUUAAUUGUAUAAAUCUAUUUAAAAUUACGAUAUUGCUUGACACAUAUUUGUAAUGUAUAUAAAAUGUCUCAUGGACGGAAAGAAAAAACAAAUGCAUGCGAGGACGGUGAAAUGCUGUACAAGGCCCGAUGGUUGCACUAUUAUAAUCCACUUCAGGCCCGUUUAUUUAUCUUGUAGUAGAUUGACUUUGAUCCUGCUAUGCUGCUGGCCCACUUCAAGCCCAAAGAUACGGGUUCUAACUUCUAACAUCCAAGACAAUCUGGAUUCUUUUUAAUGUUUUGGCCUAGAUUGUGCUAUCAAGCAGUUUUAAAAAGAGAGAGUGUAACCUGUGAUUUCAUCAACAAUUUCCUUUGCCUCUUCAUAUUUCUCAUCAAGUACAUUAGGUUUGUCUAAAUUCAUUUUAAUUCUCAUUACAGCAAGUUCUGAAUAGAGAAGAAAGCUGUGAACUCAUUUGGUAAAAAUCAAACACUACAUAGCAAAUGUAUUUUAGGUUUAUAAAUAGAUUGUGCUUUGCUGUCCCAAUUGCUACAUUUCUCCAAUGACCAGCAGCAAAUGCAGAUUUUGCAAGCUAAGCCCCUCCACAUCCUUUCUCAUUUUGGAUUCCCAUUGUGAUGAGAAGCUUGCAAAAGAAAUUUAAAUUCUGGUCAGUGCUGGGAAAGGAAUUGACAAAUGGCUAAUUCAAUUACAUGAGCAACAAAUCUCGUAGAAAUGUAUUUCUCAAGACAAGAGACCACAAACGACAAUUCUCAUAAUUUGGGUCACAUGUAAAUUUUGCGACUAGAUUGUUGGGCAACAUAUAACAAAUAGUUACCUUGUACAAUCGAGUAGUCUGGAUGAGCAGUAAUUCUUUUACAAAUUAUCAAAAUCUAGUCACUUUUAGUUGUUGUACUUGUUAAAGAAAUUAAUUAAAACGAAGCCUGGCGUAGUAGUGCCUAACAAGUGUUUCCAGGAUAAAAGGGGUAUCUAUUGCAGCAAGAAUGACAGAUUUCUGUUUGAAAUAGAUGUAAGACAUAUAAGCUUAAAAUCAGGAAAAUGAAACGAGUUUUGCAUAUUGUCAAAACCAUAUAACAGUGUUAAACUGGUCUCUUCAAUGUUUAAUGUGGUAACUAAUUUGAGUAAGUUUUUGUAAAUAAAUAUACACAGCAUCAAGGAUGAUGCACCUUGAAGAGAUUUCUCAAACUCCUGCAAUUGUAAGAUGAAACCUGAAUUAGGAGAAGCCUGAGGCCUUCUACUCUUUACGUGUUGAAGUGCUUGGGAGAGACUCAUGCCAUGCUUUCUCAUCAGAUAGGCAACAACAACUGUCACACUGACGCCCAAAAUAAAUAAAUUGAAGUUAUUUGAAGUAUUACAUAACUGAAUUCUAACUUAAAGUUUAAAUCAAAAUAUUAAUCAUACAUUUUUUCUUGACAGGCAUGAAAAAUUGUUUCAAUCAUAUCAUAAUAAGCAUGACUCGAAAGAAAUCUUUAUAACAUAAGAAAUAAGAACCAAAAAUUAAUAUGAACAAACAAGAAAAAUCACAGAGGAAGAAUAUAAUCUAGUAGAUAUCUUAUCAUUCCAGCCAAAAUAUGCUCAACCCUGCAUAUUUCUGAUGAAAUUCACUCCCUAUUCAAUGUGUCCAAGCUUCAUCACCCAUAAACCCUUCCGUGCUUCUUUUCAGUAUCAUUGUUUGUUAUACACAGUUAAUUUUACUUGCAAUAUGUUCAUUAAUGGUAUAUCCCGCUGUAAGUUACCAUGUUUAUAAUUUAAUCACGAAUUCACAACUGAACUCAAAAGGGUAAGAAUAGGUCUGUCAAAAGAAAAUAUAAAUUGUCCCAUAAAAUCGACAUAAUAGAAUUGAAUAUCAGUAUUGUAAUGUUAAGCACAAAGGCUUAACAAAUGUGCUGAAAUGUCUGGAAGAAAAUUGCUUUUAAAGAAAAUCUCAGCCUGAGGUGCUGGACCAGUGAUUUGAAGAUAAUGGUGUGUGAAAAGGAAUUCCUAAGAGGGGCUACUUCAUUAAAGCUUGAUGUAUGAGAUCAGCUCAGUGAGAUUUGAUAAAAUAAGAAUCCAAGAAUGUAAGUAACCUGGAUAGGGAAAGAUUAAUUACCUUCUGGAUCUUCCGACAAAGCAAUGAACCAAAACACCACCACCUUGUCUUUUAGCUUCCUCAAUAAAAUUGAAACACUCAUCAAAGUACUGUAUCAAAUUUGUGUCUUCUUUAUCGGCAACUACAUUAAAAAGAAUACCAUUUAUUAUAGAGUUUCAGUUCUAAAACCUCAAUAUGGCUUUAUGUAAAUCUAGAUAAAUCUAGAUACCCAAAUGCUCAAAUAGCAGUAAAUCAAAACUAAAGCACAACUCAAUUGAAAGUAAGUUCAUAACAGAAGACUGAUGUCGCAUGAUACCUCCAAUGAUUUUAUAGACAAAAUCAUUCUUGUGGGCAGGAGCCAAUGAAUUAGCUACUGUUAAGAUAUGUGUAACAUUCUUGCUUUUCAGUUUAUCCUUAUUAUUUGCAGCACCAACAGAACCCACGAACAGCCCCUGAGAAAUUAAAAAAAAAAAAAAAAAAAAAAGCAAACGUUUAAAAACCAAGACAUUAUAACAAAUAAAGAUUCAUUUAACAUCCAAAAAUGAUUUACAUCUUCAAUUUCGCAUGGGAUGUUGUCUUCCUUGCAUCGUGUAGCGUUUAUAACUCGCAAAAGUGCUGCUAUUUGUUUCUUAAUUGACUCGUCAAUCUUUUCCAUUCCUUUGUUUGUAUUUCUGCUUCCAAGAAAGACAUAAUAAGACUGUUAAGAGUUAAGAAUUGAAAGAUUUCAAUAUCAUCGCCGGUUAUUAGCGAUCAAACCUCAUUCAAGAAAAUAAUGAUUUGAGGAAAACAAUAUCUAAAUUUGGUCAAAACACACGUUAAACUAUUUUAAAAAAAAAAAACUUCCUGGCUAGAAAUCAGACGAAUCAAGAACUCCAUUCACUAAAAACAGUUUUCAUUUUCUCCUAUCAAAUUGGAGAGCAAGAUUCUUACCUUCAAUUGUUUUUGUAAUCAUCCCGAUUUCGCAUUUGAUCUUCGCUGGUCAUUAAGAAAUGAAAACGCAGACAAGAAAAGAAUAUUCUCAUGGCGUUUGGGUAAGCCUAUUAAUAUUUCUGUAUCCACUCUUGGGCUCGCUAAUGGGCCUAAGCAAAAUUUUAAUUUGUAGUCCAAGCCUGCUAGCACUAAAAUUAAUAUAAUAAUAAUAAUAAUAAUAAUAAUAAUAAUAAAAGAGGUGUGGUGCAGUGGUCCCAGUGGAUGACUAGAUAUUGAGCACUAAAUAUCUGAAGCUUAUCCAUUUGCGUGGCGAGUUUAUCCAGUCUGCGUUGAUCCACCGCGUUUUAACCGUGCAUUUUCGAUUCUAAACAAGCCUAUGUUUCCCUGUACCAAACUUUAACAAGCCAAACCAAACUGAAUUUUAAAACGCCAAGUCUUCCUUACUCUUCAUUUUCCUUCAAUGGCUUCUUUUCAAUUUCUUCUUUUCUGUUCCUUCAUCAAUUUUCUCUACCUAAUUCAUGCUGAGAUCUCAUUUGCCUCUUUACAGGAUUUAGUACUUCUUCCUGUAAGCAAAGAUCUUGCAACCCUUCAAUACAUGACCCAGAUCUAUCAUGGAACAUCAGGAAUGCCUACCAAGCUUGUAAUUGAUCUUGGAGGUCCGUUUCUCUGGCAUGAUUGUUCCUCAGGCAAAGUUUCAUAUGAGCAUUUAAUUCCAAGUUGCUCAAUCCAGUGCGCCAUGGCAAAAAAGUUUCAUACAGAGCAAAAAAACUGCUUUUCUGAUACAUCUAGGUCUGAAGAACAGUAUCCCUCAACUUGUGAUAUCUCUACGAGAAAUGGAAUCACACGAUCGAGAACAAGAGGGGAGCUUGCAGAAGAUGUCAUAGCCGUCCGAACUGUAGAUGGGACAAAAUCAGGUAAAAUCGUGGAAAUUGAUAAUUUUCUUUUUGCCUGUGCCUCUACUGCUCUUUUAGAUGGCCUAGCCGGUGGUGCUCAAGGUAUGCUAGGCUUAGGAAGGACUCCAAUUGCAUUACCAUCACAGCUUGCUGCAAAAUUUGACUUGGACAAGAAAUUCGCUGCCUGCUUGUCCUCCUCUAAUGGUGUUAUAUUGUUUGGAAAUAGUGGCUCAUUUUUUGGCCCAGAAAUUUUGAAUUCACUUACAUACACACCUCUGCUCACAAAUCCAAGUGGUGAAUCACAAGAAUAUUUGAUCAACGUGAGAUCAAUCAGAAUCAACGGGAAGCGAUUAGCUCUAGGCCAGGGAGGCUUUAAAGGAGGGACAAAAAUAAGCACAACCGUGCCUUACACCACCUUGGAGAGCUCAAUUUACAGCACUUUUAUAAAAGCCUAUACGAAAGCUGCUAAUUCUAUGAACUUGACAAGGGUGGAUCCUGAACCUUCGUCCCCUUUUGGGCUCUGCUUUAGUUCAAAGGGCAUUGCAAACACAAUCAUGGGUCCAAUGGUUCCUGCAAUUGAUCUAGUUUUGCAAAGUGAGAUGGUUAAGUGGAGGAUACAUGGAAGGAAUUCUAUGGUACAAGUGAGUGAUGAGAUGAUGUGCUUGGGGUUGCUGGAUGGUGGGUUGGAGUCGGAGAACUCAAUUGUAAUAGGAGGAUUUCAAUUAGAGGAUACAUUGUUAGAGUUUGAUUUAGGUAAUUCUAUGCUAGGAUUUAGUUUUCCAAUUUUGAUGAGGCAAACAUCUUGUUCUAGCUUCUUGGACUCCAUGGGUAAGGACUCCUUGUAAUUAUUUUCUUUUUCUUUUCUUUUCUUUUCUUUUCUUUUCUUUUUACCCUGUAUAAACUUGGAAAGGGCUAUAUGAUCUAUGAAAUUUUUGUUAAACCGUGAACCUGUACUAAUUAGGGGUAUAAUAAGAAAUUAAAUAAUAAAUUAUCUUUCCAAAAAUAAAAUAGGAUUAUGUUUUGGAACAAUCGGAAAAGGAUUAUGUUUUGAACAAACCAAAAAGAAGAAAAGAAAGUAUCAGUAUGCGGUGGCCCAUGGCCAUCAGCUUAGAUGACAACUUAGAUCCUAAAAAUUUGUUUCCGUUAAUGAAAAAAUAUGGAGAAAAUAAUUUUAAUAAAAAAAAAAAAAAAAAGCGAAAGGUUUAUGCUCACUGGAAUAAAAGCAUAUGCUUGCUGGAUAAAGCAUUUUCCUUUUUCUGAUAGUGAUGUGAUGCGAUUCAUGACUUUUUAAAGGGAAUUCAAACAUAACAGACGAUCCAUCCUUUUCAAUUUCCAUUUAUUAAAUUUGUAGUUAUCUUAUUAAAUUUAAUUUGAUGUCAAUUCGAUAUUUAUAAAGUUAUAUUAAAUAUUGAAAAUUUUAAAAACAAAAGCACAAUAAUAAAAAUUCAACUCUUAACUUCUUACUAAUAUUUAUUUUUUUUAUACGAUUAAACCAGCAAUCUCUCCGUGUUAUGUAUGGUUUUAAAAAAAUUGAAAGAAUAUAUAUUUUUUGAAAGACAAAUAUUAUUUAUGUUUAAAAAAUUUAAUACAUAGAAAACAUUAUUUUUCCUGAAAUAUUAUAGAGACUUUAAAAUAAGAAAAUUAUACUAUUCUUAUUAUUUAAAAAUAAUAAUACGGCUGACAAAAAGAGCUGACCUGUAGAACCAUACCGCGUUACAAUAACAAGGGCCCAGCUCAUAAAAAAAGAAGAAGCCUGACCCAGUAUUUUAAUAGUUAUUUAUUCAUAUAUCAACACAUGAAAUUGAAUCAAUCAAGUCAAAUAGUCAAUGGUAGGUUGCUUAAAGGCAGAAGCCGUUAGAUUUGGCUGGACGGAAAUCCGCUAAUCUGGACCAAGAAAUAAAAAUGGCUCAAAGUUAAUAAAAGUAGUCAAUCUUGUUCUUUCUGAUAAUACUUAACUAAGGAUAUUAAUCUUUCUCAUAAUCUUGUUCUUUCACCUUAAUUAAUUAUGAGUUGGAAUCCAUAAAAGUUUACCUGCUAUAAAUAAGUCAAAUAUAACUUAUAUACUAUUUGAGAUUUAGUUUCAACAAAUAAAACUCGUUCAAUAAAUUUAAUGAAUUAAGCUCGUGCUUGAUUUUGAGGCUGAAAAGAAAAUAUUUUUUUCUAUAUUAUAAAUAUUUAAAUUUAAUUUUUAAGUUGAAAUUAAAUUGGAGUUCAGUAUAUUUUCAUUGAGCUCAAUAAUAUUUGGUUGACCUUAUUUAUAUUCUUAAAUGAGUCGACUCAAUAUUUAAUAUAUAUUUGGUUAAUUUUUGAGAUUUUUUUUUUGAUAAAGGUCAAUUUUCUAGAGCUUGAUAGCUAAUAAGCCCGUAUAUGAUUAAUGAUAUCACCUCCUUGAAUUUAUUUUAUUUUCGUUUGAAAAUACCCCUUGAUUUUCUAGUAUUAACUUAACAAAUGUUGGAAUUAGUUACUCCUUUUAAGAUUACAAAGUGAAGUAUAAGUUGAUAGAAAUGUUUAAAGGAUUUAAUCAGUUAUAAUUUUUUUAAUUAUUUUGUACGAGAGGUUUUAUUAAUUAAAUAAGAUAAAGAAAAAUAAUGUAAUUGGAUCCGUUGGUUCAAUAAUGAAUAAAAAAAGAAAUGUUUUAAUAUAAUGAAAAAAAUAAUAAGAAAAUUGCCUAUGUAGUAAAACCACCAUUCAUCACUUUUAACAAUGGGCCCCAGCAAUUCUAACAAGAGAAAAGUCAAACUAACCAAAAGAGAUAUAAGCCACCGAGAUGGAACCUGUUUCACUGUCUUGGGUGUUGGCUGACUUUUCUAGAUAAGACGUACGCUUUACCCCAUAAUGGAAUUAUUAAUUUGUGUGGUUUGUUUGUAAGUUUUUUAAAUAUAGGUUGAUGAAAAUAAUGGCCACAUGCAAGAUCGCGAGCCAGUUUUGGCCUCAACAAUAAUUGAUAAUGGAUCUGCUACCCUGUUAUUAUAUAUAUAUAUAUAUAUAUAUAUAUAUAUAUAUAUAUAUAUAUAUAUAUAUAUAUAUAUAUAUAUAUAUAUAUAUAUAUAUAUAUAUAUAUAUAUAUAUAUAUAUAUAUAUAUAUAUAUAUAUAUAUAUAUAUAUAUAUAUAUAUAUAUAUAUAUAUAUAUAUAUAUAUAUAUAUAUAUAUAUAUAUAUAUAUAUAUAUAUAUAUAUAUGCUGCUUCUUUUUCUUUUUUUUUUGCCUUUAAUAUUAUUUUGAGAAAGAAGUGCUACAGUUUGAAGUUGGAAUCCUUUGCACAGCUCAUCAUCUUCUUCCCACCACCCCAUAAAUAGUUUAUACAACCGUGGGAUUAAUAUUAAUUUAUCCAAACAAAAAGGAUCAACUGCCCUUUGAUAGGAUGUAUAGUACUUCUGAUGCAUAUGAGAAUGACAUAUUAAUUUAAAAUAUAGCGAGUGAUUCUGUUCUCUGAUAGCUUCAAUCUAUUCUUUUACUCUCUUCUUCUGUUUGUUUUUGUUUUCUUUCUUUAUUUUUCUUUCUACUGGUCGAAUUUCUCCUUGCAAUACAUGCUCAGGUGGCCGCAUGCAUAUUUAAUAUUUAUCUUAAUUUUUCUAAAGAAGCACUACGGCGUCGUAAUUUGGCAGAGACGGGGCAGGAGUUAUAGCAGGGUUAUGAGCUUGGUCCGCAAAGUACAAUAUAAGCAUCAAAUUUUAAAGAAUUAGCAAUGACAUUGAAUGCUGUCGGGAAAAUUUUAUAUGGGUUCUUGGACCACCAACCAAUAGGAUAUUAAGCACUAAUAAUCAUGAAUGGCCAUUAUUAAUUCUUCCAUCUAAGCAGAAAGUUACAACAAAAAUUAUUUAGUACUACAGUCUACAGAAGUACAUAGGCUGUAAUUAAAAAAAAAAAAAAAAUCCAAAAAUAUAGGCUUUAAGUGUUAAAGUUACGGCUACAGCUCCAUUGAAGCUAAAAUUGAUGCAAGUGUUGUUGACAUUUUUUAGAGAAAUUUUAUUAAAGUCAUUUAGAUUUUUUUAUACUUUGUUGAAAUCAAGAAGUAAUUGAACUACCUUGCUUUUAGGUAGGUGAACAACUUUCCAUGAAUUAUAGAAGUUUGGUGAACAACCUUUCUUGACUUAUAUAGAAGGUUAGUGAACAAACUUUAGAAUAGCUCUAUUAUAAAUGUUUACAUUAUGUUAUAAUGGAAUUAAUUAGAUGUGAAUAUUUAUUUUUUCACACUUAUAAAAUCUGCAGUUUUUUUCUUUUUCUGCAGAAUUUUCCUUAUCUUCCUUAAUUUUCUGCUAUUCUAAACCAACAUUAAGCUUUAGAAGUGAAGUCGAAGUUGGCACAAGUUGUUUGUCUGGACAACAAAGACGAGCUAAACCCAAGCCUUGAAGCAGCAAGAUCAAAUUGCAGAAAAUUAUCCUCCAAUUGAUGCCCUCCUAUUAUAAUAGAAGUCCUUGGAUCUACAGAUUCUACACCUUCAUCAACAAACCCAAGACACAGCACAUUUCUGUUAACUUGCACCAUUGAAUUAGCACCAACAAUUCUCCACACAACAUUGUUGUUCUGCAACAUUAGAUCAAUGGAAGGCACCGCUGGGCCAAGUCGAGUGCUAGCAAUCUUGCUAGCAUCAAAACAAGGCCCAAAAGGUGCGACUGAUGCAACUCUAGGGACAUGAGCCAGCUCUUUUACAAAAGCAUUAACAACAGCAUUAUAUAUUGUUGUUUCCAUUACAGUAUAAGGCCUUCCAGUGCUGAGCAUGGUUCCACCCGACCCUUCGCUGUUAAUUUUUAGCAACGUGGUAUUCACAGAAACGGUUUUUUCAUUGAUCUUGAUAGACUUGACUCCGAUAAAAUAAUCAGAGGAAGAUUCACCAGGAAAGAAUCCAGUACCUGUCCUUACUGGAUUUUGCAAGAGUGGAGUAUAGGUAAGGGAUUUGGAGGCAUCGAAAUUUGGUUGCAAAACAUAAGGCCCGUCACCAAAGAAAACGACACCUUUAGCACUUGAAGAGGUUAAGCAAACGGCAAACUUAUUGCGAAAGUUAAAAGCAGAGGAGAAUUGAGUAGGUAGAGAAGCCCUAUUCCUUCCAAGGCCAGCCAUUCCCUUUACACCAUUGGGAAGAACUUCGAGAACGAAUGUACGGCCACAAGUGAAAAGCAAAUUUGAGACGGAAGCGUUUUUACCAGGAUUUGAUCCAUCGGUAGAUUGGACAGACACAACAUCUUGUCCAACUUGGCCUUCAGUGCCAAAGCUUAUUACCCUGUUGUCCAAGAAUCUCGAACAUGUAAUUGUUGUUGCAGCCCGGCUUUGGACGGGCACCUAGGCAUAUCUCAUUACUACAGCGCCUUGCAUUAAUAAGUGAGCAUUGGGCAGAGUUACAGCGCGCAGGUCUAUAAGACGAGGAUACAUAGUCUUGCUCGCAAUCAACCCAUAAAAAUAAACCGCCAAGAUCAAGUGUUACGUUGACAGGUACGAGAGGAGUUCUUUGGUUGAUUUGUGUGACGUAUUGGCGGAGAGUUGAUGAGUCUUUUUGGACGGGUAGGACUAAUGCUUUGGGCCUGAAGGUUGUUUGUGCUAUACAAGGCGAAAUGAACAAGAGAGCGAGGGAAAAAAGGAAAAGAAAAUUACGCGAGAGAGGCAUUUCCUGUGUAACUAAAGAUUUACUAACUAACUGAAAAAAAAGCUGAUGGGUGGAGAAGUGCUGGGUUUGAAUGUGAGUUUAUUAUUUAUAGACUUGAUAUAUUUUGUUCCGUAUACUUGGUUGGAUCUAAGGAAAAAUCAAGAACUUGUGGUGUUAAAAUUGAUCAGCGAAUUGAGGGACCAGUUGAUUAAUUUGUAGGGUAAAUUGCGUUGCUUGUAGCGUUUUGCUCUCCAGCUGGCUUUGGUUCCAGAGUCGCAGACUGAUCAGUAUCAAAUCAAUGAUAGUCUCUUUUGGUUAGCCUGGAUAGACCAUUCUCUUGCCAGUUGCUUCAGUCGGGUGGCUGAGAUUUUUAUGAGGAAAUUGUAGACUGCGGAGGAAGAGGACAUCUUAUCCAUACGUUAAUAUCCCACAACUAAUGACUUAUUUUCACUUAUUGUCUUUGAAUUAUAUGUUGUAUUUAUUAAUUAUCCCUAUACUUCUGUUGCUUAAAAAAUACUAAAUUACUAUUUGAAUAACUUAAAAAUCUAUCACCAGUUAUCCGGUAAAGAGCCGAUAAUCUUGCUGACAUGUACAUGUUUUUAACAAAAAAAUUUCAUAUCAAAAUUUUUAAGAAUUUUUUUCUCUCCCACCUUAUAAUUUUCUCUCCUCCUCACAGCACCAUAGCCCCAUUUUUUGUUAUUUCAUGGUCAAAGAGCAACACCAAGCCAUCAAACACCAACCACACUCUUCUCUCUCUCUCUCUCUCUCCGUCUCUUGUUUCUAUCCAAACAUCUUCUCCUCCUUUAAUGGUGUCUUAUAGAGCAUUCAAUCCCGAAAAUAUACACUCCAUUUCUCUCUCUCUCUAAAAAAAAUAUAAAAAUUCAGUACCUCUCUCUUUCUUGAUCUUCAUGUUUGCAUAUAUUUUGUAGUACUGUCUAUAUUUGAAAUCAAAUUAAGCUCUCAUGUCAAAUUUCACUGCAUUUUUUUUCAUAAUUUAGUACUCUUUUUCUUACAACUUAUAAUCUUUAGAGCUCUCAAAUGAAUCUUCUCCAUCAGAUGGAUGAUCAUGGUGCUUGGUAGGAUUUUCAUUUUUUUUGAAAUUUUCAAAAUUUUUUUUAAUUUAUUGGGUUAGUUUUUCAAAAGAAAGAUAACUAUUAUAAAAAAAUUAUGCAGUUAAUUUUCACUUCAUAUAAUUGUGGUUUAUGCUUCCAUUUUGCGUUUGUAAUUUCUUUUGUGACCUUUAGCUUCUUACUAUGUAAUUUUUGAUCUAAUUUUUUUUUUUCCCCUUUCGGUAUCAAUUUUUUAUGGAUGGAGAAAGCUUUAAAGCAGGUUUUCCUAAGAUUUUAUUUCCCUUUUUUAUAAAUAAUUUACUACUUGUUUUGGAGUUGUGCUAAUGUUAUCUAGUCUAUUUUUGUUUUUAUAGCUUCAAAAAAUCUUAAAAAGACAAAGAUGAACUAGAGCAAGGAGAGAAGUUAAACUCAGAUUGGAGAUCACCAUUUUACUUUUUGUGGCAAGAGAGAGAGAGAAAAAUAAAUUUAAAAUGGAGAGAGAAAAAUUAUUAAAAAAAAAAAAACAAGGUGGAUGAGAGCCAAAAUAACAUUAUUAAAAAAAUAUGAUGUGGCAUUUUAAAAAUAAUUAUUUAUUAGUUAAGUAAUUUCAUGUCAGCUUUUUACCUGCAGUUGACUGGAAAAAUUGAUAAAAAGAUUUAUGUGUUACUUUAAUAAAAGUUCAUGUAUUUCUAAGUCACAAAUUAAAAUAUAAAGAUAAUUAAGAAACGAGUGGUAUCCUUGGGGAAUGAUGGUUGAAAAUAAGCUCACAACUAACUUAUGCAAGUUGAAUUUCAAAUCAAAAUUUUAAAUUAUGAUAUUAUUUAAUAAAUUUUGAUUUUUUUAUUGUCCCUCUGCUCCACGCGUUACUUCCUUUCUAGAAUGACAAUAAUAAAAAAAGAAAGAUCAAAUGUGUUUUUCUCCCACCAUUAUCCUAAUCUCUGAUUGUACCAAAAUGUCUAUUUUGGUGUAAGAGAAGAAGGCACAUGGAUUAACCGGAUGAAACCAUAAUGUCAACAAUAUCUUUAACAUUGGUCUCAAUAUCAAUAAUUAAAUAAACAUUAAUGAAAUAUCAAAGUUUUUUUUUUUUUUUUUUUACCAAUAGAUGAAUAAAAUUUAUACGUAUAUUUCUCAUGCAUAUGGUAAGGGCGAGUGAUUCUGUUUUCUGAUAGCUUCAAUCUAUUCUUUUUACUCUCAGUUUGUUUGAUACCUUCAGUUUGUUUUUAUUUUCUUUAUUUAUUUUGUUUCUACUGAUGAAAUUUCUUCGUGCAAUACAUGCUCAGGUGGCGGCAUAUUUAAUAUUUCUCUUAAUUUUUCCUAAAGAAGGACUACGACGUCGUAGUUUGGCAGAGACAGGGCAGGAAUUAUAGCAGAGGUAUGCAAAAAAUUGGCUUGAUACAUAACUACUGAAUUCUGGCUUUGUUCGCAAAAUACAAUCUAAGCAUAAGUUUUAUAGAAUUAGCAAUGGUAUUGAAGGCUGUCGGGAAAAUUUUAUUUGGGUUCCUAGACCACCAACCAAAAGGAUAUUACUAAAAAUAAUCAUUAUUUAUACAUUAAUAGGUGAGGCCAACACUAAUAAUCAUGCAUAGCCAUUAUUAAUUCUUCCAUCUAAGCAUAAAGUUUCAACACACAUUAUUUAGUAUUACCGUCUACAGAAGUACAUGGAGGCUGUAAUUUAAAAAAAAAAAAAAUUUUACAAGAAACACAGUCUUUAAGCUUUAGAAGUGAAGUCGAAGUUGGCACAAGUUGUUUGUCUAGACAACAAAGACGAGCUAAACCCAAGCCUCGAAGCAGCAAGAUCAAAUUGCAGAAAAUUAUCCUCCAAUUGAUGCCCUCCUAUUAUUAUAGAAGUCCUUGCAUCUACACCUCCAUCAACAAACCCAAGACAAAGCACAUCUCUGUUAACUUGCACCAUUGAAUUAGCACCAAUAAUUCUCCACACGACAUUGUUGCUCUGCAACAUUAGAUCAAUGGAAGGCACAGCUGGGCCAAGCCGAGUGCUAGCAAUCUUACUAGCAUCAAAACAAGCCCCAAAAGGUGCAACUGAUGCAACCCUAGGGACAUGAGCUAGCUCUUUCACGAAAGCAUUCAAUACAGCAUUAUAUAUGGUUGUUUCCAUUACAGUAUAUGGCCUCACAGUGCUGAGCAUGGUUCCACCCGACCCUUCGCUGUUAAUUUUUAGCAACGUGGUAUUCAAAGAAACGGUUUUUUCAUUGAUCUUGAUAGACUUGACUCCGAUAAAAUAAUCAGAGGAAGAUUCUGUAGGAUUAAAUCCGGAACCUGUACUUAAUGGAUUUUGCAAGAGUGGUGUAUAGGUAAGGGAUUUGGAGACAUCGAAAUUUGGUUGCAAAACAUAAGGCCCGUCACCAAAGAAAACGACACCCUUAGCACUUGAAGAGGUUAAGCAAACGGCAAACUUAUUGCGAAAGUUAAAAGCAGAGGAGAAUUGAGAAGGUAGAGAAGCCCUAUUCCUUCCAAGACCAGCCAUUCCCUUUACGCCAUUGGGAAGACCUUCGAGAAUGAAUGUACGGGCACAAGUGAAAAGCAAAUUUGAGACAGAAGCGAGUAUACCAGGAUUUGAUCCAUCGGUAGAUUGGACAGACACAACAUCCUGACCAACUUCACCUUCAGUACCAAAGCUUAUUACCCUGUUGUCUAAGAAUCUCGAACAUGUAUUGUUGUUGCAGCCUGGCCUUGGACUUGAACCUAAGCAUAUCUCAUUACUACAGCGCCUUGCAUUAAUAAGUGAACAUUGUGCAGAGUUACAGCGCGCAGGUCUAUAAGACGAGGAUACAUAGCCUUGCUCGCAAUCAACCCAUAAAAAUAAACCGCCAAGAUCAAGUGUUACAUUGACAGGCACGAGAGGAGUUCUUUGGUUGAUUUGUGUGACGUAUUGGAGAGUUAAUGAGUCUUUCUGGACGGGUAGGACUAAUGCUUUGGGCCUGAAGGUUGUUUGUGCUAUACCAGGCGAAACGAACAAGAGAACGAGAGAAAAAAAGAAAAGACAAUUACGCGAGAGAGGCAUUUCCUGUGUUAACCAAAGAUUAACUGAUAAAUUGAAAAGAAAGCUGAUGGGUGGAGAAGUGCUGGGUUUGAAUGUGAAUUUAUUAUUUAUAGACAUGAUAUAUUUUGUUAAGUACAGUUGGUUUGAUCUUAUCAAAAGAAAAAAUCAAGAAUUUGUGGUGCUAAAAUUUGACCAAGGAAUUGGAGGACCAGUUGAUUAAUUCGUAGGGCAACUUGCGUUUCUUGUAGCGUUUCGCUUCCAGCUAGCUUUGGUUCCAGAGCGGCAGUCUUCUCUAUUGAUCAGUAUGAAAUCAAUGAUAGUCUCUUUUGGUUAACUGAGACUAUUAUUCUCUUGCCAGUUGCUUCAGUCGGGUUGCUGAGAUUUUUAUGAGGAAAUUGGAGACAGCAGAGGAAGAGGACAUCUUAUCCACACAUUAAUAUCCCACAAGGAACUAAUGCGAGUUGAAUUUUAAAUUAUGAUAUUAUUUAAUAAAAUUUGAUUUUGUUUCCUUCUGUCUGCAUUUUUGUCCCUCUGCUCCACACGUUACUUCCUUUCUAGAAUAACAAGAAAAAAAAAAAAAAUCAAAUGUUUUUUUCUCCCACCAUUACCCUAAUCUCUGACUUUACCAAAAUGUCUAUUUCUUGUGGACUAAUAGGAUGAAACCACCAUGCCAACAAUUUAACGGUGGUCUCAAUAUUAAUAAUUAGAUAAAUACUAAUGAAAUAUCAAUUUCUCUUUGUCAAUAGAUGAAUAAAAUUUAUACAUAUAUCUUAGGCUAAUAAAUAAAAUUUCAUCCUGAAUUUCAGCUGAUUUCUCUUUAUCAAUUUUUACUCUCUUAAAUUUUGAAAAUUUAUAUUUAGUGAAAUCUUCUUUUUUUAUAUUGAAUUUAAUUGAAAAUUUUAGGUGAAUAUUUUAAUGUUCUUUUUUGUCAUUUUAAAUUUAUUGUCAUUCAAACAGUUGUUUUUAUAAAAAAAUUUUCGCUUUUAACUACCGUUAAACAGCUAAUAGAUAGUACAACAAUUAGAAUUUUCCUAACAGUUAUUAAAUGAAAAUAAAACAGUAUGGAAACUUUUGUUUAGAGAAUAAAGAAAAGAGAAAUAAGUUAAACUCUUUACACUAAAAAAACUCCCAGUCGAUACUUAUAGUAAGGGAAAAACAGUAUUAAAAACAAAUUAACACACAUUUAUUGUACCCAUGAGUGCAGAUAUGGACCAUAAUUAACGUUGGAAAUAUUACAUUAUUAUUCAUCUAAAAAUAUUGAAAGAUACAGAACAACUCUCCGACAAUACCUUGGGACAACGCAAACAUGAUCUGCCAAUGGAAAAACUUAGAUAAAAAUCUCAAACUGCUCUCCUUACUCUUAGAUUAGACAGAUGUGAAAUUAAUGUUAGAGCAAGUUGUUUGGCUAAAAAGUAGAGAACCGCUAAACCCAAGCCUUUUAGAAGCAAGAUCAAACUGUAAAAGAUUAUUCUCCAGUUGAUACCCACCAAUCACAAUGGAGGUCCUUGGUUCUGCUCCACCGUCAAUGAAUGCCAAACACAAUGUUUUCUCGUUAACAUACACCAUUGAAUUUGCACCCCAAAUCCUCCAUACUGUUUCAUUGUUUUGCAAGACAAAAUCAACGGGCGGCUCACCUGGUCCAACCCUGGUGGAACUAAAGCUCUUUGCGUCGAAGCACACGUCGAAUGGCUUUACUGCCUUAACUCUAGGCACCUUUUUUAACAACUUGAUAAAAGUUUUAGUAAAAGCUUUGUAAAUGGAACUUUGCAAGACUGUGUAGGGAUCAACUGUGCUGAUCUUGGUUCCAACUUCUCCGUCUUGAUCGAUGGACAACAAUUUCUUGUCAAUUUUAACUCGUUUUCCAUUGAUGUUGAUGGCUGUAAGUCCAAUGAAGUAACCAGCAGAUGUUUCGUUUUCAAAAUAAGAUCCUGACGUGGUCAUAUGAUUUAGAAUAAGAGAGGUGUAUGUCAAAUGCUGAGAGAGAUCAGUAUUUCCAGGAAGCAUUUCAUAAGGUCCAUCCCCGAAAAAGAUAACGCCAUCACCACCAGUUAAGCAAAGAGCUAAUUUCUUUUUGAAGCCAAAAGCAGUGGAGAACUGAUUAGGAAGUGAAAUGUUAUGUCUUCCGAGACCAACCAUACCUUUAACACCACUAGCAAGACCCUCUACAAGAAAAUCAGGAGCACAAGAGAAAAGGAAGUUAGGCACAGAUACGGAUUUACCAGGAUUCCUUCCAUUAGUGGAUUGAAGAGACAAAAUAUCCAUGCCAAGCUCAUAUACGCUAGUGCUCAUGCGUAUAACUGUGUUAUCAGGGAGUAAGUCGCAUGUAUUAUUACGGCAACCUGGUGUUGGAUUUGGAUAGAAAUCAUUAGUACAAGUUUGUGAAUUGGCAAGUGUACAAAGUGGGAUCCGCAAUGUACAGGCUUAUAUGAAGAAGAAAUAUAGCCUUGUUCGCAAUCAACCCAGAGAUAUCUACCGCCAAGAUCAACGGUAUAUUUUAUGGGCACAGAAGGAGUCCUCUGGUUUAUAUGAGUCAGGUAUUGGAGAGUUGAUGGGUCUUUAGAGACUGGGAGGAGUAAAGCUUUGGGACGAAAUGGUGUUUUAGCUGUGCAAGAAGAGAUGUACAAGAGAAGAGAAAAAAGAAGAAGGAACCGAUUAAACGAGGAAUCCAUAUGAAAGAUAUGUAUGAAAGAGAGAUUAGGAAAGAAGUUUAUAUGAAUGGCGAAGUACUGAGGCUGCAAUGCUCUCUAUUUAUAACUGAUUUGGAUAUGUUACGUUUGUAUACUUUCUACGAGGGUUCAAUUUUUUUUUUUCCCCCAACAUUGCUUUCAGAAAUGAGAUUAAUCUCCUCAUAAGAUUUACUAAUGCUUUAACUUAUUACUGUAGAAUUAUCAUAUUUAAUUUAAUCCAUCAGUUCAUAUACGAACGACAUCUUGAGGAAUACGAUGAAAUGUAGCAUUCGACAACCUUCUCUUACUUAUAUGCGCACAUGCCAAAUUGUGAAUAUCAAAUUCACGAGAUUCCGCUUCAACAUCUGGAGAUUUGAAUUAAUUAAUUAAAAUGUCUAAUAAUUAAAUUUAAAAGCAAGCGCAAGUUGGAGUAGAAUAGUUAAGGUCAUGCUUUCCAGGUUUCGUUUAUAUUAUUAUAUUCCAUUUUUGUCCACAUAUGAUUGCAACCACGCUGGUAUUUGUCGUUCAUAGUUGAACUUCAGGAGAGAACGUUUGCCACAUUUUUAUCUAUUUAUUUUUAAUGAAAAGAUAACAUAUUUUUAUAAUCAUUAUUGCGUUAUUUAUUGGGCAUAUAAUGUAUACACAGAAGUAAAUAAUACUUUCCCUUGAAAAGAAUAGUUGGGUAAAAGUCUGAAGACUAUCACCACGCACGUGCUGAAUCAACCUGUGACAUCCACUUAUUUCUGUUUAAAAUCCCUGAAUUUUUCUUUUUUAAACUGAAUAUUACUGUAAAUUACAUAUUUGUUGUCGCAUAUUAUAUAUCCCAACAUGGUUUCAAGUUUCAACCUCUUCUUGGACAGACAUUUAAAAGGGAUGUAACGCAUACAAAAAUAGUAGUAAUUGAAAGGUUUAAUGUUUUUAAAUAAAUUAAUUUUACAAGGUCUUGACAACGAAUCAGAUAAAGUUUAAAUAAAUGAUAAAUUAUUAAUACCAUGGUGUAAGUAAAAGAUUAAAAUGGAUAUAAUCAAAUCCAGCGCAAAACCUAAAUAAAUUAAUCAUAAUGAUAUUAAAUUAAAGCAAGGUCAAGGUCAUUUUAAUUUAAUUAGUAACCAGGUCGCCAACAUUGACGUUUCCCAUCGGCCACAUAAUACAUACUCCAUUAGUAUAUAUAGGCAUUGAAACCCAUCGCCUCCCUCACUCCAAUUCACAACAAUGGCUCUUUUCCAUAAUCUCCUUUGCAUUUGCUCUCUUCUCUUCUUCAUUUUCCCUUCCAUAGCACAAACAUCUUUCAGGCCCAAAGCAUUAGUCCUUCCAGUAUCAAAAGAUGCAUCCACUCUCCAAUACCUUACACAACUCAAGCAAAGAACCCCUUUAGUGCCAGUAAAGUUAACUCUUGAUCUUGGAGGCCAAUAUAUGUGGGUUGAUUGCGAUCAAGGCUACAAGUCAUCCUCCUACAAGCCUGCACGUUGCAGGUCAGCCCAGUGUUCACUUGCCAAAUCAAAGAGUUGUAUUACUGAAUGCUUUUCUAGUCCAAGGCCAGGCUGCAACAAUGACACAUGUGCCCUUCUUCCUGAUAAUACUGUAACUCAUACAGGAACUAGUGGUGAGGUCGGUCAAGAUCUUGUGUCUAUACAGUCAACUGAUGGGUCGAACCCUGGUAGAGUUGUUUCAGUGCCUAAAUUGAUUUUCACUUGUGGUACCACAUUUCUGCUAGGAGGUCUUGCUAGUGGUGUAAAGGGUAUGGCUGGUCUUGGAAGGACUAAGAUUUCACUUCCUUCUCAAUUUUCUGCUGCUUUUAGCUUUCAUAGAAAGUUUGCCAUUUGCUUAACCUCUUCAAAUGCAAAUGGUGUCGUUUUCUUUGGCGAUGGGCCUUAUGUUUUGCUUCCGAAUAUUGAUGUCUCUGAAUCUUUAAUUUACACCCCAUUAAUUCUAAACCCAGUAAGUACAGCUUCUGCAUCUUUGGAAGGUGAUCCUUCCUCUGAAUAUUUCAUUGGGGUCAAGUCUAUCAAAAUUAAUGGAAAAGCUGUUCCAUUGAACACAUCAUUGCUAUCCAUUGACAAAGAAGGAUUUGGAGGAACCAAAAUAAGCACUGUAGAUCCUUAUACUGUUAUGGAAACAACAAUCUACAAUGAGUUUAUCAAUGCCUUUAGGAAAGCCCUAGCUGGAGUACCGAAGGUGGCGCCUGUAGCACCUUUUGGACUCUGCUUUAACUCGACCAACAUUGGCAGCACCAGAGUUGGGCCAGCUGUGCCUCAAAUUGAUCUUGUUCUGCAAAGCAGUACAGUUUUCUGGAGGAUUUUUGGUGCAAACUCAAUGGUUCAAGUUAAAAGCGAUGUGCUUUGUCUUGGAUUUUUUGAUGGAGGUGUAAAUCCAAGGACUUCAGUAGUUAUUGGGGGUCAUCAAUUGGAGAACAAUCUUCUCCAGUUUGAUCUUGCAGCUUCAAAACUUGGGUUCAGCUCUUCUCUUUUGUUUAGACAAACAACUUGUGCCAACUUCAACUUUACCUCUAAAGCUUAAUUAGAGGAAUUUCUUUACCUGUAAUAUUUAUUAAUUAUUAUCUGUGAUAUUAUAUUAUAAGUCCAUGUGUUGGAAGAAUAAUAUUUCUUUUGUGCUGGACUGGCCAAAAUUAAUGUUGUGGUAAUCUAUAAUUAAUGUUCAAUCAAACGAAUAAUGAUUUAUAUCACCAUCUUUGAUUCUUCGAGGAAUAUGCGGAGAUUCGAGUAACUUAGCUUGCACGAAAACAGAUUUGAAAUACCACAUUGUAGAAAUAACAAUCAAGCAAAUCUCAACGGUAGAAUAUGAUAUAUACUAUUAUAUUGCGAUGAAGAUAAGGGCUAUUAAUCAAUUUCCAUAGUCUACAUUCUAGAUCUGCUUUUAAGGCCCGUUGUUUUUUAAUGCAUUCAGUGCUUUCUAUAUCAAGAUGCUUUCUGACAUUAGACAUUGUCGUUUCUAAACUCCAUCCAGGAAUCCUGAGAACACGACAUUUUGACUUAACUUUAUCACUGAAUUAUCCCCUUUGAUUUCCUAAUACAAAUCCUUGUUUUUAAACACCAAAGUAAUGUUAUGAACACUAAACCCUAAUCUUGACAAACCUAUAGCUUUCCUUUAGUAAAGCAAGAUUUACUAUGGCCUUGAUAGAGCAAAUAAGGAGACUCGCCAAGAAACAAGACUGCGUUAGAUUUAGCGAACUGGAAAAGGCAAGCAUUCGCUAACGCAAUCGGCUUUAGCUGCAGUGCAAGUUGCAGAGCCACAAUGGCCUCGUCUGUAAGUGGAUAAAUUAUAAGCGCCAUUAUCGAGUUGAAUCCACAAACGGCGGUGUCCAAGGUCAAAUACAUGCUUAUAUUUGUACGGGUAGGCAAUCCUUCAUUGAAUUAAAUGGCAGGAAAGUCAACGAAUAAUUUCGAGUCAACAAGAAAACGAUUCUUUUCAGUUUUUGAGUCUUUUGACCAAUGAAAUUAGCCAGAUGGAGAAUGGAUAAAUAGACUGUUAAAAGUUGACGACAUCUGGGUUUGGGCCAGGCCCACCGUCUGAUUGAGACUACUAGAUUUUAUCAUUUAUAUGACAACAGGCGAAAAUACAAAAAAAUUUUUGUUUUUUUAAAAGAGGCGAAAAUUCACUUGCACACCGUGUACAAAACCAACCACCCAUACACUGAACUAAUAAAAAAAUUUAUAUUAUUAUUUUUAUAUACUGCUUCAUUAAUUAAUUUUUUGGAUCCUUCUCUGAAUUGCAGCAGCGUGCUAUACUAAAAUGCUAGCAUAUAAAACUUGACCAAAUCAGAAUAUUGCUUACAAUAAUAUUUUUGAUUGCUAAAUCAAAAACAACGGCUUCGUGACAUACCCCAAAACCUCUGGCAUCUGUAUUUAAUUUGUGAUUGCUUUGCAAUUGUAAAUACCAAAUUCUUAAAUAAAAAAUUAAAAUACGUUUUUGUUUUUUU
rnacentral:lncRNA from 1 species